UACUGUAGAUAAUGGAUGGACCUUUCAAGUCUGUGACUCAUCCAGUAUAUUUUGAAGGAAUUGUUCCUUUCGAGUUGCAUUACCAACUGAGUCUCACUUAGCAUUAGGGGAGCAUAGGGGAGAGGUGAACUACUCACGGUAGCAUGCAGAUUAAUACGGACAAUGAGGGGAAGGGAGGUCAGCUUAUUUGGCAACCUAAAUCAGUCCAGGAGCUUAAAUUUCGCACUUUUGACACGAUCCCUAACGUUACUGGUACUUUGAGUAUCUUUUCCGUUGAUGUUCGGUUGCACGGAAAUUUAUGUUUGCUAUAACUUCACAUUUUAGGUAAUAAUGAAAAGAUAUAAGCUGUGAAACACCACUGAAUAUUCAGCAACCUCAACGAAGCAAAUUUUGGGAAGAGUGACUUAUUGAGGUUAAACUCCGCUGAAACUUUGUCUGGAAGCUGGGUGUAGCUGUAGUUCACUCACCAGAGGUCAUCUUGGGGGCAGCAGUACUGGAGAGUCAGUGUCUUCUCUCUAAAGCCACUCUUCUCUGUGGGAUGUCUCAGGGACUGGUAUUUUACAGGAAGCCUGAGGCAACUUUCAGACAACAUGCAUUUUUCACAGUAGUGUAAUGCCUACAAAUGAAGCCUGAGAACUGAGUAAUGACUGCUAAAUGCACAGUAAUAUGUUCACAUUGGUUAAGCUUUAACCAUGUUUACUGUACAUGUGUCUGCAGUUAAUCAAAUAUACUGUACUUGGAGUAAAAUGUAUUUUAUCAGAGUUGAUUUAUUUGUAAACCUGUGUACUUUAAUGUAAAAUGUGGUGUAAUGUAAUGCAACUCUAGUUCUUAGUAUUUCCGUAGGUUUAUUUGUCUCUGUGAGAACAUUGACUUGCAUUCCCAAUUUGCAGUUUACUUGUUUUUCAUGAAGUCUUAAAAAAUAUAUUUUUUAAUCUGUCUGUGCACUCAUAUCUUGCAUUCUGCUUUUGUAAUUAUGCAGAAGUGUCCCUUAAGGAAACAAACUGAAGUUGUUCAGGUUGUAAUUUUGUUUUGUUUGUAAGCAUUCAAGUAACAGUGAUACUGUAUUUAUGAAAUGUCUCCGGAUAAGCUAGAACUUUGCAUCAGUGACACAUUCUUUUUUUGCUUCUGAAUGCAACAAAAGCAACUUGCCUUUGAUAUGAGUGAUAUGAUGUUGGCCAGUUGUUCUGUGUAUGGAGAACAGGGUUGCCCAACCCUGUUUUUGGAGAUGUGCUGUCCUCCUGGUGUUCUCUUCAAACAUUUGGCACACCUUAUUUUACUAAUUAGCUGCUCGAUGAGAUCACUAUCUGUUGAAUGGGGUGUGCUUUGUUAGGGUGAGCCAGAACACUGUUGCUAGUAUUGGCAAAUGCAAUGUUUAUAAAACUGGUAUUACUAGAUUUCCCCAAGUAUAGUUUUUGUUAGAUACUAGGCCCUUUCCCCUAAAAUGCAGGGAGUUGCCUGAUGUCUUCAUCAGUCAGACAUCUGUAUGCUUCUGUUAGUCAUAGUGUCAUGAAAGACUGCACCUUAUGGUCCUGUCUGUGAAACACUAGUGUGAUCCAUCCAUCCUCCACAGAUUCAGCUGUGCCAGGAACACAGGAAGCAAGCCAGGGCAAAAGCUCAUGCUCGUAUUUUUAAAAAAAAAGCAUUUUGCACAUGUAACACCAACACAUGCUACACCAACCUAACACCGGUACCCACACCUAACACCAUUACAAACACCCGUAUGCUACACGUACCAAACACCAAUAAUACAACAGUUCCCUACACAAACCUAACACCAGGGGCUUGUAUCGCGAUUCAGGCUAAAUGGGUAGGCCACCUAACUUCUGGCUUAAUCCUGAGUUUCUGGUACCGCAAAAGAAGCUUUCUUUUGAUUGGGUUAAAUUGUCAUGGUGAUUUACGCUGCAGAGCAGUGUUCAGGCCUAGUGUUUAAAGACACUGCCUCCUGACCAAUCGGCUCUCUGGAAAAUGACAUGUCCAUUUCUGGAGGAUCCCAUUUCUGAAAGCAUAAUCCCAUCAUAAUUCAGACUAUAAUGCAAAUCAGCAAUUGGAUUUUGUUUUCAUUCAAUGUGUGCAAAAACCAUAAAUAAUUCAAAUUCUUUUGAGAAAACCUCACUCAAAAAUUCAGGCUCUUGGAAACCAAUGAAAUUAUGAUACUAAUGAUGUACAGGUGGUUAGGCUUUCAUAAAAGGACACAAAUUGUUUCUUCUGCAUUAAACAAUCCAUAAAUGUUUCCUGUAUGCAUGCUGAGAAUGUUAUGCACAGGCAAAAGAAGUUCUUGAGACUUUAUACUUAAAAAGGUUGUUUUACAACUACAAUUUAUCUUGCAAUGCCGGGAUUAUGCCUGUAGUCAAAGGGGUUCAAUAACCAUUUUAUUUUUGGGCUUGUCUUAAAAAGAGGAUGUUUGUUAAAUUCCUGUUAAUGUUUAGUCCGUUACACACACACAUGUAUAAUUAUGUUUUGAAGGUUCAUUGCUUUUUUUCAUGCAUUGUUUUUCUCCAGUCAGACAAGUACACGCUGUUAUUUCCUGUCAUAACACCUGCAGACAGGUUAGCACCUGUAGUAUUUUUUCCACUUUCCCUAUUACACAAUUCAAUAAAUAAUUCCAUUACAACUGUUGCUAGCAUUACUCAUCAGGAUUAAGCAAACAGUUAGAUUAUUCAUCACAAAUGACCAGGGAGAUGUCUUUACUUGCAGUGUGCAGAGCUGGAAUGUUUAAAUGACACUUUCAAACCACAAAUCAUCUGCAAAUAGUACCAGACACCAUUGUGUCUUAUAAAAAAAUGUAUUUCUGGGUGUGUACAUUGCGUACAUUUUAGGUACACGUAGUCUUGCGUGCAAAAGGACACAUUCCAUAGCACACA